UGCGGAGGGAUCAUUACCGAGUUUACAACUCCCAAACCCCUGUGAACAUACCACUUGUUGCCUCGGCGGAUCAGCCCGCUCCCGGUAAAACGGGACGGCCCGCCAGAGGACCCCUAAACUCUGUUUCUAUAUGUAACUUCUGAGUAAAACCAUAAAUAAAUCAAAACUUUCAACAACGGAUCUCUUGGUUCUGGCAUCGAUGAAGAACGCAGCAAAAUGCGAUAAGUAAUGUGAAUUGCAGAAUUCAGUGAAUCAUCGAAUCUUUGAACGCACAUUGCGCCCGCCAGUAUUCUGGCGGGCAUGCCUGUUCGAGCGUCAUUUCAACCCUCAAGCACAGCUUGGUGUUGGGACUCGCGUUAAUUCGCGUUCCCCAAAUUGAUUGGCGGUCACGUCGAGCUUCCAUAGCGUAGUAGUAAAACCCUCGUUACUGGUAAUCGUCGCGGCCACGCCGUUAAACCCCAACUUCUGAAUGUUGACCUCGGAUCAGGUAGGAAUACCCGCUGAACUUAA
rnacentral:misc_RNA from 1 species